UACGUAGGGCGCAAGCGUUAUCCGGAAUUAUUGGGCGUAAAGAGCUCGUAGGCGGUUUGUCGCGUCUGCCGUGAAAGUCCGGGGCUUAACCCCGGAUCUGCGGUGGGUACGGGCAGACUAGAGUGCAGUAGGGGAGACUGGAAUUCCUGGUGUAGCGGUGAAAUGCGCAGAUAUCAGGAGGAACACCGAUGGCGAAGGCAGGUCUCUGGGCUGUAACUGACGCUGAGGCACGAAAGCGUGGGGAGCGAACAGG
rnacentral:rRNA from 1 species